GACGAACGCUGGCGGCGUGCUUAACACAUGCAAGUCGAACGGAAAGGCCUCUUUCGGGGGGUACUCGAGUGGCGAACGGGUGAGUAACACGUGAGUAACCUGCCCUUGACUUUGGGAUAACUUCAGGAAACUGGGGCUAAUACCGGAUAGGAGCUCCUGCUGCAUGGUGGGGGUUUGAAAGUUUCGGCGGUUGGGGAUGGACUCGCGGCUUAUCAGCUUGUUGGUGGGGUAGUGGCUUACCAAGGCUUUGACGGGUAGCCGGCCUGAGAGGGUGACCGGCCACAUUGGGACUGAGAUACGGCCCAGACUCCUACGGGAGGCAGCAGGGGGGAAUAUUGCACAAUGGGUGGAAGCCUGAUGCAGCAACGCCGUGUGCGGGAUGACGGCCUUCGGGUUGUAAACCGCUUUCGCUCAUGACGAAGCUUUGUGUGACGGUAGUGGGUAAAGAAGCACCGGCUAACUACGUG
rnacentral:rRNA from 1 species